UAUUGCAUGUCUAAUAGGAUUCUACGAGGUUGGGUGGGACGUGGCACCUGUUGAAUGUCAUUCCCAAGAUCCUCAGUGCACUUGUAGUUGUUCUUAUCCAAAGUCCUUCCAUCUGCAUGUCCUUCCUCCACUGGGUCCCGAACCGAUCAACGUUAAACGAAGCAACUACCUUGUAAACGUCAAGCAAGGCGAAACAAUCAGACCACUAGACCUAGAAGGACUGUGAAGAAGGCGACAGAACACUGAAGAAUAACUACACCAAAAGAGCACCGAAGGGAAAACAGUUUAGCCCUCUCGGCGGAUAUCCGAUCCCUGGGCUAAAAGAAAUAGGAAUGUCUGUUCACCAAGUACAAGUCAGAGUCUUAGCCUAGCCGAUACUUCCCGGGUCAACUGAGUCAACCUGUACGGCUUUAAUAAAUAGCUUAGACUCUAACUCAUUCUAAGCAAACACCACAGCUUACGGUCUUUUGAUCCAAGUGUCAUAGGGAUCGGCAGGAAUCGAAAAGACUAUGAGUACGAGAAGUUCCGGUCUCUCUCACUCCAUACGCCAUUGUAGUUGGCGAGAGCCAAGAGAGGGUGGAAUAGAGAGAGAAGAAGGGAAAGUGGUCUACUCCUUCCAAUCCACUCGCCAUGGUAAGAGACGGGGAAUCCGAAAGAGUGACACACAAGAACACGAGUGCUCAAACUACUUGUAGGGUACCACAACCUAGGUGCACUAAAUGCACUAAGGCAUCACUAGGGUUCUUAGCGGUGCGGUUGUCACCACGAGAACCAAGAAAUGCUACGGUCGAAUAGGUACAAGCGUACAAGAGUUUAAACACGAAGAACCAAAAAGGCGGGAAAGGACACGGGAUUCAUCUUCCUUUGAUCCACUCGCCAUAGCAACAGCGGGAAUCGUAGAAAUGGAAUCAAAACACCAAACAAACAAAAGGGCUCAAUCCACAUAUUACUGGAUCUACAGGGAUUGAGAACGAGAGAAGAGGAAUGGAGUCCAUACUGUUUCGACCAACUCAUCAUGGAAUGAACGACGGUUGGAUGAAAGAGAUACGACCCCACGAUCCAAGCCUACUCGUAGGGUACCACGACUGUGCAUCUAAUCAGCACACGGCUAUUCCUAAGGCCCGUAGCGAUGCGGUUGUCACCGCUAGGUCCGAGGGAAUGCUAUAGUCGAAGUGGUGCAAGCAUACGAGGUGGUUAGGAUAAAUACGCGAGAAAUAGGGUAAAGCCGGAUGGUCAUGGCAAGGUGGACUUGCGACCAUUAGCUUCACCCAACGAGUUGGCUUCUGACUGUUAUACAAGGGUUGCUCCUAAUCUGUAUCCCACUAGACUAGAUCACAGAGAACUCGAAGGUGCGGGUAAGAACCGCGUCGUUAUGAAUAUCGAGUCCACAAAGAUCAAACCCCAGGGACGAGGAUAGGAGCUAACAAGCGUAGCGUGACGAAGUCAACUAAACACGGGGAGACGAGUUACGCUCGGCAUCGCGAUCACGGCGGGACGAACCCACGAUCGAAAUGAUCAAACGCACUACCACUUCCCCGACCGGCUCGAAGGCUCAGUCCUCAGGCAAAUAACAAAAGAAAGAACGACGACAACCCGAGAAGGGAUAUGCUUGGCACUACGACCAUGGUGAGACAACUCGCGAUCGCAACAUUCAAACACAUCACUCUCUCAACCGGCUCGAAGGCACGGUUCACAACCAACCAACCACAUGACACAAGAACCAACGCACAAAGAACCACAAUGCCGCAACCAACACAAAGACAAAGUAGAGUAGCACAUUUCCAUAGCGACCAACAGAGAUAGAUAAACGGAUAGAUAAACAGACCGGCACGAAGGCACGGCACAGGCAUAGAAUAAAUAAUUCAUGUAUCGACAAGUAUAGAUAGAUGGAUAAAGAUGAAUCAUAUAGCAAGUGAAUGAAAGCAGAAUAGGGUUUUUGUUGGCAUCGAGAAUGACGCCAACUAGGGUUCGGGGCUCGACCUUGGAGCCGAUGGGCUGUGGUAGCAGCUGCUGUUCU
rnacentral:lncRNA from 1 species